UCACCUUUGUUCUUGGAUUAGAACUUGAUAGUGUUGGUUCUACCGGCAGGUCGCGGUUAGGGUCACGCUUCUUUUGAUAACUUUGGUUCUACCGGCAGGUCGCGGUUAGGGUCAAGUUCCUCUUUCUCUACCUAUUUCCAGGACGGUCCGAAGUGUGCUCUUAUCAAUAUCUAGCUCUAACCAAAAUACAAUACUUGUACAUUUGAUCAAAUACUGUGUAUAUGUUUAAUUUUAAAUUUUGCAUAUACUCAGUGUUUUGUCAUCAUCAAAAAGGGGGAGAUUGUUGACCCCCUAAUGGAUUUUGAUGAAUACAAAACAUUAGAGUAUAAUUCCCAUUAUAUUAAUAAUUUACUUGAGCAUUUCAGGUGUUUCACUAAGAAUAUUGUUAAGGAUUGUCGAGGCAUGUUCCCAUAUUUUUCGGUGGAUUUAUUGAAGAUUUUUGAGAUGAAGAAAACGGAUUAGGGGCAGCCGAGACGUCUCUGGUUUGUUCCAGAGACGUCUCUGGCACGCAGAGAAGAAGCUGGGACGUCUGGAGACGUCCCCAGCACCUGCCGAGGCGUCUCGCAGGGUCGGAGUCGACUCCCGGCUUUCCAGAGUCGACUCUCUCAGAGACGGCAGAAAGGACGAUUUCAAGGGAUGCGCGCGAGUCGUCUCCGAAGGACGCGGAGCCGACUCUCUCAGGGAUUCCAGAGGACCUGCUUUUUCAUUGAGAAAACGUCGGAGCCGUCUCCGA
rnacentral:lncRNA from 1 species